rnacentral:rRNA from 1 species
GAUGAACGCUGGCGGCGUGCCUAAUACAUGCAAGUCGAGCGAACGGACGAGAAGCUUGCUUUUCUGAUGUUAGCGGCGGACGGGUGAGUAACACGUGGAUAACCUACCUAUAAGACUGGGAUAACUUCGGGAAACCGGAGCUAUACCGGAUAAUAUUUUGAACCGCAUGGUUCAAAAGUGAAAGACGGUCUUGCUGUCACUUAUAGAUGGAUCCGCGCUGCAUUAGCUAGUUGGUAAGGUAACGGCUUACCAAGGCAACGAUGCAUAGCCGACCUGAGAGGGUGAUCGGCCACACUGGAACUGAGACACGGUCCAGACUCCUACGGGAGGCAGCAGUAGGGAAUCUUCCGCAAUGGGCGAAAGCCUGACGGAGCAACGCCGCGUGAGUGAUGAAGGUCUUCGGAUCGUAAAACUCUGUUAUUAGGGAAGAACAUAUGUGUAAGUAACUGUGCACAUCUUGACGGUACCUAAUCAGAAAGCCACGGCUAACUACGUG